rnacentral:lncRNA from 1 species
UCCUGGCCGAGGUGUCCCCGCGGGGCUUCCUGCGCUCCCUGGGCGACGCGGAGGAGCUGGGUGCUGCUGGGGAGGGGGCUCCCCUCUACGCCUUCCAGCCCCCCCCUGCCCGCCGCACAGGUACUGCUCCCCGUGCCCUGCCAUUGGUUAGCAGCUGCCUGCCCGCGCUGCUCUGAUUGGCUGGGAGCAGCUCCAGCAGAGCAUCCUGGCCCAGCUGCGGGCCCUGCUGCGGGGAGAGGUGCGGGCGCAGGGCGCGGGAGCGCUCUUCCGCAUCCGCCUGGCCGGGGGCUCGGCCCCCUGCGCCUACCUGUCCCCGCAGGACCCCCGCCCUCUCUGCCACCCGGCCGUCGACAGAGCCCUGCAGCUGAGCGGGGCAGGUGGCCCUCCCCAUGUGAAGCUGACGGUGGAGUGGGACAUGAGCACCAAAGAGCGCCUUUUCGGCAACAUCCAGGAGGAGGUGGUGCAGGACGCCGAGAGCGUGCGGCUGCAGCAGCAAGCACACCGGCAGCAGCACAGCUGCACGCUGGACGAGUGCUUCCAGCUCUACACCAAGGAGGAGCAGGUACCUGGCACCCCCGAGCCACGCGGGCAGCGGGCACCCUGCCUGCACCCUGCCUGCACCCAGCAGAACUGCCACCGAGUGCAAGCCCUGCCCACAGCAUGGCAGCUGUGGGCAUUUUCAGUGCCGAGGGUGGCUUUGGAGGUGGUAGGGGGGUGUUGUAGGGGGAGGUGACAUGGCACGUGGUGUCCCCAGCUGGCCCCGGAUGACGCCUGGUGCUGCCCGCACUGCAAGGUGCCGCAGCAGGGCACGGUGAAGCUGAGCCUCUGGACGCUGCCUGACAUCCUCAUCAUCCACCUCAAGCGCUUUCGCCAGGUGGCUGAGCACCGGCACAAACUCACCACGCUGGUGAGGUUCCCUCUGCGGGGUCUCGACAUGGCCCCCCACGUGGCACAGCGGGGCCAGGCUGGUGGGCAGCUGUUGGGGCGCUGGGCGCCCUGGCAGCCCCCCCUCUGCCUGCCCCCGAGCUGCCCCCGUGACUACCUCUACGACCUCUACGCCGUCUGCAACCACCACGGCAGCAUGCAGGGCGGCCACUACACUGGUGAGCGGGGCGGGGGGGGCAUGGCAGGAGGGUGGGGGACACUUCAGGGGGCAUGGUGUGGGGUUUGAGGGCACUGCAGG